rnacentral:lncRNA from 1 species
CUGUCACUUUCUAGAUUGUGGUCCUCAUAAAGUUUGAUGUCAAGACUUGUUUCCAUUUGUCUUGAUUCCUUGCAGGCAAAAUUGGGUGAAACGAAUAAAUUUUAUUAUGAUGAAAAACUUAAAAGAUGGGUAGAGGAAGGGGCUGAACUUCCUGUUGAGGAACCGGCCCUUGCACCUCCACCAACCACUGCAGUCUUCCAGAAUGGAGCACCAGAUUAUAACUUGAAGAAUGUAUUAAAAAGUGAACUGAGGAACCUGCCCUUGCACCUCCACCAACCACUGCAGUCUUCCAGAAUGGAGCACCAGAUUAUAACUUGAAGAAUGUAUUAAAAAGUGAAGGUUCUAUAUGCAACAAUGGAUUUCCGGAAAUGAAGAGUCCAACUUCUGCUGAUAAUGGUUCGGGAAUC